GGAGGCCUGGACUCAAAAGAGGAGGCCAGUCAGUCCACUGAUACAACUAACAAAAAACUCAGAUGUCUGAGCAGUAAAACGGACUGAUUUCUGAAACUAUCUGAAUGUAAUUUUUGCCCCAUAAAUGGUCCAACUCAAGGUCUGCUUACUCGCUUGCUCUGUAGCUUUUGCCUAUAUCACACAAGCUUCAUCAUGUUCAAAGUUUCCAUCAUUUGGAGCAACUCUAACUUCACAUCCAGGUUGGUAUAAACGGACUAGUAGGACAAAUCCCAUCUGAUGAGGAUCAUUCAGUCCAGAACUACCCGACAAGCAACAAAAUGCCUUUGCAAAGAUCUCAAAUUAAACUUGGACAUUUUGCGAGAGGGGAGUAAAGUGGUGAUGAAGGACGGUCAGACUGACCACAGCCAGCAGGUGACCUCUGGUCGGCAGCCGUCGGUUAUGAGGAAUCUUCGCGCGAUCUCGAGUCGGGUGAGACAGCUGAGAGUCUUCUACUGUCACCUGGAAACAUGAACCACAACGACAGAUGUCUUCAUUGCCACCGAAAUCCAGUGAUGUGGUCUACGCGUGCAGACAGCUAGUUCAGCACACAUUAUUUGAUCAACUGUAAACAAAUACACAAAGCUCACAGCAACUCCCCAGCAAGCCUCUACCGUUUACACCCUCCAAAACCUCAGAAUCAUGGGAACUGUAGUCCUGAAACGUACUGCAUCGUAAGCUCCAAAGCAGAAGGAAAAGCAGCAUUUUCAGGUUUUCACCAAAUGUAACACAUCACCUUUUUUUAAUUCAAGCACUGCAGGUAAGAAUGAAAGCAUGUCGUAUUUACUGUAUGUGGUUCUGUGCAGAGGCAGGU